rnacentral:rRNA from 1 species
CCUACGGGAGGCAGCAGUGAGGAAUAUUGGUCAAUGGCCGCCGGGCUGAACCAGCCAAGUCGCGUGAGGGAUGACGGUCCUAUGGAUUGUAAACCUCUUUUGUCAGGGAGCAAAGGGCGCAACGUGUGGCGCUUUGCGAGUACCUGAAGAAAAAGCAUCGGCUAGCUCCGUGCCAGCAGCCGCGGUAAUACGUAGGGGGCGAGCGUUAUCCGGAUUUAUUGGGUGUAAAGGGAGCGUAGACGGUGCUGCAAGUCGGGAGUGAAAGCCCGUGGCUUAACCGCGGCACGGCUUGGGAAACUGUGGAGCUGGAGUGCUGUAGAGGCAAGCGGAAUUCCUGGUGUAGCGGUGAAAUGCGUAGAUAUUAGGAGGAACACCAGUGGCGAAGGCGGCUUGCUGGACAGUAACUGACGUUGAGGCUCGAAAGCGUGGGGAGCAAACAGGAUUAGAUACCCUUGUAGUC